rnacentral:rRNA from 1 species
UACAUAGCUUAAUGAGGGGAACUCAGGGAACUGAAACAUCUAAGUACCUGAAGGAAGAGAAAGAAAUUCGAUUCCGUAAGUAGCGGCGAGCGAACGCGGAUUAGCCCAAACCAAUAAAGUUUUCUUUGUUGGGGUUGCGGACAUAUCAUAACGAAGAGGUAUCGUAAUUGAAGAGGUUUGGAAAGACCCACCACAGAAGGUAAUAGUCCUGUAUGUUAAACGAGAAGACUUUAGAUAUGAUCCAGAGUACCACGGGACACGUGAAACCCUGUGGGAAGCAGGAGGGACCACCCUCCAAGGCUAAAUACUACCUAGUGACCGAUAGCGUAUAGUACCGUGAGGGAAAGGUGAAAAGAACCCCGGGAGGGGAGUGAAAUAGAACCUGAAACCCUGCACUUACAAGCUGUGGAAGCACAUUUCUUGUGUGACCGCGUACUUUUUGUAGAACGGGCCAACGAGUUACGUUAAGUAGCAAGGUUAAGCACUUAAGGUGUGGAGCCGUAGCGAAAGCGAGUUUUAACUGAGCGUUCAGUUACUUGACGUAGACCCGAAACCGGGCGACCUACCCAUGAGCAGGAUGAAGCGAAAGUAAAAUGUCGUGGAGGUCCGAACCCACGAGCGUUGAAAAGCUCGGGGAUGACUUGUGGGUAGCGGUGAAAUUCCAAUCGAGCCCGGAGAUAGCUGGUUCUCCCCGAAAUAGCUUUAGGGCUAGCCUCAAGGUGAGAGAUACGGAGGUAGAGCACUGAAUGUCCUAGGGGGUAUUGCACCUACCGAAGACUAUCAAACUCCGAAUGCCGUCAUCUUAUACUUGGGAGUCAGACUGUGGGUGAUAAGAUUCAUAGUCGAAAGGGCAACAGCCCAGAUCGUCAGCUAAGGUCCCUAAAUGUAAGUUAAGUGGUAAAGGAUGUGGGAUUGCACAGACAACCAGGAUGUUGGCUUAGAAGCAGCCACUCAUUCAAAGAGUGCGUAAUAGCUCACUGGUCGAGUGAUCCUGCGCCGAAGAUUUCCGGGGCUAAAACUUACUACCGAAGCUACGGCAUCAGUAAUGAUGGGUAGGGGAGCUUCCCAUACGGGUUGAAGCAUGACCGUAAGGACAUG